UACGGAGGGUGCGAGCGUUAAUCGGAAUUACUGGGCGUAAAGCGCACGCAGGCGGUUUGUUAAGCUAGAUGUGAAAGCCCCGGGCUCAACCUGGGAUGGUCAUUUAGAACUGGCAGACUAGAGUCUUGGAGAGGGGAGUGGAAUUCCAGGUGUAGCGGUGAAAUGCGUAGAUAUCUGGAGGAACAUCAGUGGCGAAGGCGACUUCCUGGCCAAAGACUGACGCCCAUGUGCGAAAGUGUGGGGAGCGAACAGG
rnacentral:rRNA from 1 species